UAGGAGAUUUCAUACCGGCACAGGUCGGUAUGCGAAGUCCCUUUUGGGGCCUUAGCUCAGCUGGGAGAGCACCUGCUUUGCAAGCAGGGGGUCGUCGGUUCGAUCCCGACAGGCUCCACCAUAUUGAGUGAAAAGACUUCGGGUCUGUAGCUCAGGUGGUUAGAGCGCACCCCUGAUAAGGGUGAGGUCGGUAGUUCGAGUCUACCCAGACCCACCACUCUGAAUGUAGUGCACACUUAAGAAUUUAUAUGGAUCAGCGUUGAGGCUGAGACAUGUUCUUUUAUAACUUGUGACGUAGCGAGCGUUUGAGAUAUCUAUCUAAACGUGUCGUUGAGGCUAAGGCGGGGACUUCGAGUCCCUAAAUAAUUGAGUCGUAUGUUCGCGUUGGUGGCUUUGUACUCCACACAGCACGGCAAAGGC
rnacentral:tRNA from 1 species